UCUUGUAAACAACUUGAACCCUUCACUCCUGAAAUUUGAAACUACAUCUCCAGAUAACCCAUAACCUCAUGUUCUUGCUUAAAAUCCAUGCUGGCAGAGGGGAGAGUCUGAGGCUGUGAGAAUCCUGCUGGGGAGAGGGCUGGCUGUUCCUGGGAGAGAGAGAGAACUCAGUCAAAGAUUGGAAUACCCUGUCUAAACAACGGUGCUUCCUCUCAUUCACAGGCCUCGCUGUCUAUACAUGUUGCAGAAAUCCCCGUUGCAACAAAUUGUGCGAUUGCGGGCAACAUAACGAUUCCCUGGAGUCAGCGACUGUGAAAUGAUCAAGAUUUUGAAGAUCCCCAAAAAUUCGUGAGUAAAGAAACUCUCUGGAUCUCUCUUCUUGCUUUUGUUUUGCUGUUCCAUAAACUAUGGAGGAACUGUGGAAAGACUCGUGGCUCUCCAAGCUGCAAAGGGACAUUUAUCUUAAACUUGAAAAGAUUCUUGAACAAUGAUAUGUAAAUUUUAGCUUAAU